rnacentral:rRNA from 1 species
UACGUAGGCAGCAAGCGUUGUUCGGAAUUACUGGGCGUAAAGAGUGUGUAGGCGGUGCUCUAAGUCUGUUGUGAAAUCUCCCGGCUUAACUGGGAGGGUGCGGCGGAGACUGGAGUGCUAGAGUGUGGGAGAGGUAAGCGGAAUUCCUGGUGUAGCGGUGAAAUGCGUAGAUAUCAGGAGGAACACCGAUGGCGAAGGCAGCUCACUGGGACGGUACUGACGCUGAGACGCGAAAGCGUGGGGAGCAAACAGG